rnacentral:rRNA from 1 species
GACGAACGCUGGCGGCGUGCCUAAUACAUGCAAGUCGAACGCAUUUUCUUUCACCGUAGCUUGCUACACCGAAAGAAAAUGAGUGGCGAACGGGUGAGUAACACGUGGGUAACCUGCCCAUCAGCGGGGGAUAACACUUGGAAACAGGUGCUAAUACCGCAUAAUUCCAUUUACCGCAUGGUAGAUGGGUGAAAGGCGCUUUUGCGUCACUGAUGGAUGGACCCGCGGUGCAUUAGCUAGUUGGUGGGGUAACGGCCUACCAAGGCUGCGAUGCAUAGCCGACCUGAGAGGGUGAUCGGCCACACUGGGACUGAGACACGGCCCAGACUCCUACGGGAGGCAGCAGUAGGGAAUCUUCGGCAAUGGACGCAAGUCUGACCGAGCAACGCCGCGUGAGUGAAGAAGGUUUUCGGAUCGUAAAACUCUGUUGUUAGAGAAGAACAAGGAUGAGAGUGGAAAGUUCAUCCCUUGACGGUAUCUAACCAGAAAGCCACGGCUAACUACGU